CCUACGGGUGGCAGCAGUGGGGAAUAUUGGACAAUGGGCGAAAGCCUGAUCCAGCCAUGCCGCGUGUGUGAAGAAGGCCUUCGGGUUGUAAAGCACUUUCAGUGGGGAAGAAAGCCUUGGGGCUAAUACCCUCGAGGAAGGACAUCACCCACAGAAGAAGCACCGGCUAACUCCGUGCCAGCAGCCGCGGUAAUACGGAGGGUGCGAGCGUUAAUCGGAAUUACUGGGCGUAAAGCGCGCGUAGGCGGUCUGAUAAGCCGGUUGUGAAAGCCCCGGGAUCAACCUGGGAACGGCAUCCGGAACUGUCAGGCUAGAGUGCAGGAGAGGAAGGUAGAAUUCCCGGUGUAGCGGUGAAAUGCGUAGAGAUCGGGAGGAAUACCAGUGGCGAAGGCGGCCUUCUGGACUGACACUGACGCUGAGGUGCGAAAGCGUGGGUAGCAAACAGGAUUAGAUACCCCGGUAGUC
rnacentral:rRNA from 1 species